GACGAACCGUGCGACCGUUGUUCGGAAUCACUGGGCAUAAAGGGCGCGUAGGCGGCUUGUCAAGUCAGGGGUGAAAUCCGGCAGCUCAACUGUCGAAGUGCCUUUGAUACUGACGAGCUCGAGGGAGGUAGGGGUCGCUGGAACUUCCGGUGGAGCGGUGAAAUGCGUUGAUAUCGGAAGGAACGCCGGUGGCGAAAGCGAGCGACUGGACCUCUUCUGACGCUGAGGCGCGAAAGCUAGGGGAGCAAACAGG
rnacentral:rRNA from 1 species